rnacentral:rRNA from 1 species
GCGCGAAAACUUUACAAUGCUGGCAACAGCGAUAAGGGAACCUCGAGUGCCAGGUUACAAAUCUGGCUGUCGCGAUGCCUAAAAAGCAUUUCAUAGCAAGGGCCGGGCAAGACCGGUGCCAGCCGCCGCGGUAACACCGGCGGCUCGAGUGGUAACCGUUAUUAUUGGGUCUAAAGGGUCUGUAGCCGGCCGGAUAAGUCUCUUGAGAAAUCUGGCGGCUUAACUGUCAGGCUUUCAGGAGAUACUGUCUGGCUCGAGGCCGGGAGAGGUGAGAGGUACUUCAGGGGUAGGGGUGAAAUCUUGUAAUCCUUGAAGGACCACCAGUGGCGAAGGCGUCUCACCAGAACGGACCUGACGGCAAGGGACGAAAGCUAGGGGCACGAACC